CAUGCACUGGGGGGGGGUCCCUCAGCCUGGAUUGGGAGAGGGUGCAGGCCAGGCUGAGGAACCCCACCGGUGCACA
rfam:Myotis lucifugus cont2.30330, whole genome shotgun sequence.